GGAGGGAUGGCAGAGUGGACGAUCGCGAUGGUCUUGAAAACCAUUGAGCCUCACGGCUCCGGGGGUUCGAAUCCCCCUCCCUCCGCCA
rnacentral:tRNA from 2 species